rnacentral:rRNA from 1 species
GGAUGACCUGUGGUUAGGGGUGAAAGGCCAAUCAAACUUCGUGAUAGCUGGUUCUCCCCGAAAUGCAUUUAGGUGCAGCGUUGCGUGUGCUUGCUGGUGGUAGAGCGACUGGAUGGUCGAUGGCCCUUAUACCGGGUACUGAGAUCAGCCAAACUCCGAAUGCUGGUGAAGUUGAGCGUGGCAGUGAGACUGCGGGGGAUAAGCUCCGUAGUCGAGAGGGAAACAGCCCAGAUCAUCGGUUAAGGCCCCUAAGGGUGUGCUAAGUGGGAAAGGAUGUGGAGUUGCUGUGACAACCAGGAGGUUGGCUUAGAAGCAGCCAUCCUUGAAAGAGUGCGUAAUAGCUCACUGGUCAAGUGAUUCCGCGCCGACAAUGUAGCGGGGCUAAGUACACCGCCGAAACCGUGGCAACAAUUUUUGUUGGGUAGGGGAGCGUCGUGCUUGAGGUGAAGCUGCCAGGUGACUGUGUGGUGGAUUGAGUGCGAGUGAGAAUGCAGGCAUGAGUAGCGAAUGACGGGUGGGAAUCCCGUCCUCCGAAUGACUAAGGGUUCCAGGGCCAGGUUCGUC